rnacentral:rRNA from 1 species
UUCUAUCUAGAGAUAGGGGUUGAAAUGUGUUUUCCUGUGUAUGUCUUACCUUUUGCAUCAUGAUUCUUUGAAGGAGUUCCUUGGAUAAGGGGGCCCGAAGAGCGAUGAUUUACACUUGGCCUGUUGAGAACUUAGAAUUGGAUGGGUAAUCCUUUUUAGAGCCAUCUGUGGGUGUGAUAAAUGAUUCGUAUUGCUUUAUAUCUGGUUUGCCGAGCGGUGUUUUCUAGUUAUCUUUGCUGUCUGAGAUGGUGAAGUGGAUAAGAGAGGAGGUUUUUAUGUUAGUUUGGGGGGUUGGAAGUACCGUUGGGAGAGGCGUUGCUUGUUGGUAAGCAAGUGAUGUUCCGUUUGUCUUUGUGUGCCUUGGGUGCAUGGGGGUCCUUUGCAUUAAUGUUGUGUCGGUUUUGUGCUUGAGUUGGGGGGAUGUGUUUCCGGGUCUGCGGGGUUGUGGUGGAUCUUGCUUGCAUUUUAUGUGGCCUGGGUUGUGUAUGUGUCUUCUUGGCUUUGGUGUCUGCGAGGCUGGGAUGGAUUAGUGUGUUGGGUAUUUGUGAACUUAGAUACGUGUUAUAACGUGAUAGGGAGUGGUUGAGCCUCUUUAUGAUAGUCCUCGGUGGUUUGAACGAUUUGGUUUCAGUAUGAAGGAAUGAGUAGUUUGAUUGGUUCUUUUCUUUCUCGGAAAUCUUCGGACUGUUUAUUAAAAACAUUGCCAUUAGGUUUGGUUGAUGGUAUUACCUGCCCAAUGUCCUUCGGGAUGAAUGGCCGCAGUACUCUGACUGUGCUAAGGUAGCAUAAUUACUUGCCUUAUAAUUGAGGGAUUGUUUGAAUGGUUUAACCAGAGGAUGUUUCUAGUUGAGAGCCUAUUGAUGAAAUUGAUUGGCUGGUGCAGAAUCCAGCGGAAAUUAAUAAGACGGAAAGACCCCGAGAGCUUUAUAAGUUAUUAUUUGCCUGGGAGGGGAACAGAUGUUUCAUUUGUUUUAUGAUCCUUAGAAGUGAAGCUAGAGGGUAAAGUUACCUCGGGGAUAACUAGGUGAUGGGCAAGGAGAGGUCUUAUCGAUUUGCCCGUUUGCCAUCUCGAUGUUGACUUGGGGUUAUGGUAGAGGCGUAGAGGCUUCUAUUUGUGGUCUGUUCGACCAUAGGCCCUUUCAUGAGUUGAGUUAAGACCGGUGUGAGUCAGGUCGGUUCUUAUCUAUUGGUGCCAUGGUCUCGUACGAAAGGAUUGACUGUGGUUUAGGUU